CCUACGGGUGGCAGCAGUGAGGAAUAUUGGUCAAUGGUCGGGAGACUGAACCAGCCAAGCCGCGUGAGGGAUGAAGGUACAGAGUAUCGUAAACCUCUUUUGUCAGGGAACAAAGGCGGGGACGUGUCCCCGGAUGAGUGUACCUGAAGAAAAAGCAUCGGCUAACUCCGUGCCAGCAGCCGCGGUAAUACGGAGGAUUCGAGCGUUAUCCGGAUUUAUUGGGUUUAAAGGGUGCGUAGGCUGUCGGAUAAGUUAGAGGUCAAAUGUCGGGGCUUAACACCUUGCCUGCCUCUGAUACUGUUAGUCUAGAGAGCGAGUGAAGCAGGCGGAAUGAGUGGUGUAGCGGUGAAAUGCUUAGAUAU
rnacentral:rRNA from 1 species